GUGCCAGCAGCCGCGGUAAUACGGAGGAUGCAAGCGUUAUCCGGAAUGAUUGGGCGUAAAGCGUCCGCAGGUGGCGAUGUAAGUCUGCUGUUAAAGAGUGAGGCUCAACCUCAUAAGAGCAGUGGAAACUACAUAGCUAGAGUACGGUCGGGGCAGAGGGAAUUCCUGGUGUAGCGGUGAAAUGCGUAGAGAUCAGGAAGAACACCAGUGGCGAAGGCACUCUGCUAGGCCGUAACUGACACUGAGGGACAAAAGCUAGGGGAGCGAAUGGGAUUAGAUACCCCAGUAGUCCUAGCCGUAAACGAUGGAUACUAGGCGUGGCUUGUAUCGACCCGAGCCGUGCCGUAGCUAACGCGUUAAGUAUCCCGCCUGGGGAGUACGCCGGCAACGGUGAAACUCAAAGGAAUCGACGGGGGCCCGCACAAGCGGUGGAGUAUGUGGUUUAAUUCGAUGCAACGCGAAGAACCUUACCAAGGCUUGACAUGUCGCGAAUCUUCUUGAAAGGGAAGAGUGCCUUCGGUAGCGCGAACACAGGUGGUGCAUGGCUGUCGUCAGCUCGUGUCGUGAGAUGUUGGGUUAAGUCCCGCAACGAGCGCAACCCUCGUUUUUAGUUGCCAGCAUUAAGUUGGGCACUCUAGAGAGACUGCCGGUGACAAACCGGAGGAAGGUGGGGAUGACGUCAAGUCAGCAUGCCCCUUACGCCUUGGGCUACACACGUACUACAAUGCUUCGGACAGAGGGCAGCAAGCAUGCGAAUGCAAGCAAAUCCCGUAAACCGGAGCUCAGUUCAGAUCGCAGGCUGCAACUCGCCUGCGUGAAGGAGGAAUCGCUAGUAAUUGCAGGUCAGCAUACUGCAGUGAAUUCGUUCCCGGGCCUUGUACACACCGCCCGUCACACCAUGGAAGCUGGUGGUGCCCGAAGUCAUUACUCCAACCUUUCGGGGGGGAGGAUGCCUAAGGCAGGACUGGUGACUGGGGUGAAGUCGUAACAAGGUAACC
rnacentral:rRNA from 1 species